UACGUAGGGUGCGAGCGUUAAUCGGAAUUACUGGGCGUAAAGCGUACGCAGGCGGCUUUGCAAGACAGGUGUGAAAUCCCCGGGCCUAACCUGGGAACUGCAUUUGUGACUGCAUGGCUAGAGUUUGUCAGAGGGGGGUGGAAUUCCACGUGUAGCAGUGAAAUGCGUAGAUAUGUGGAGGAACACCGAUGGCGAAGGCAGCCCCCUGGGAAGUGACUGACGCUCAGGUACGAAAGCGUGGGGAGCAAACAGG
rnacentral:rRNA from 1 species